rnacentral:rRNA from 1 species
UACGUAGGGUGCAAGCGUUAAUCGGAAUUACUGGGCGUAAAGCGUGCGCAGGCGGUGAUGUAAGACAGGUGUGAAAUCCCCGGGCUUAACCUGGGAACUGCAUUUGUGACUGCAUCGCUGGAGUGCGGCAGAGGGGGAUGGAAUUCCGCGUGUAGCAGUGAAAUGCGUAGAUAUGCGGAGGAACACCGAUGGCGAAGGCAAUCCCCUGGGCCUGCACUGACGCUCAUGCAC